rnacentral:rRNA from 1 species
UACGUAGGGUGCAAGCGUUAAUCGGAAUUACUGGGCGUAAAGCGUGCGCAGGCGGCUUUGCAAGACAGAUGUGAAAUCCCCGGGCUCAACCUGGGAAUGGCAUUGGUGACUGCACGGCUAGAGUGUGUCAGAGGGGGGUAGAAUUCCACGUGUAGCAGUGAAAUGCGUAGAGAUGUGGAGGAAUACCGAUGGCGAAGGCAGCCCCCCUGGGUCAACACUGACGCUCAUGCACGAAAGCGUGGGGAGCAAACAGG